UACAUAAAUCUCCAAUAUAAGUUUCCAGGCAACCACAUCCAUCGUUCAUCCAUAGAUCAUCCAUUCCUCCAAGACCAGUUUCUUGAUUUCACAAAGUUUUUCCACAAAAUUUAGUUGCAAUAGUUUUUUUUCCAGUUCAGAUUUCUGCUUCCAUUCACUUUUGUUUUCCUUUUUCAUUUCACCACACAUUUAGCUGACAGUAAGAAAUGUCAAACGUUUCGUCGAUUAUUUCGACGGGUCGAUUAGUCGGAAUACAGUAGAGGCCGUUGAAAUGGGGAUACCGUAGGUUGAUGUCAUUUGGAACUGUGAUAGUUCCAGCUACAAAGAUGAGUUUUGAGUCAAUUGUUCGGAUGUGUCCGGAUAGUCCCAGUGAUGGUUAUGAGAUUCGUUAAGGUAAUGGUCGAGAGAUUUCUUGACGGUACACAGAAAAAUGCGUUGCGAAGUCACGCAAGAGGAUUUUUAAUUGUGGUUCCCCAUUUAUAGGCUUCAGUAUAAUUAGAAAAAAAAGGUAGAUAGUUGAAAUUUCGGUACAGUUAAAUAUGAAGUUUCGUAAAAAAAUAUCUUAAAGUAUAAGCAAACAGUUAAUGAAUUAGAAGUUUAAUCAUGUAUAUAUGCAGCAACACAUAGAGCUAUUAUAGAACAAAGUAUUUUAAACAGCAAAUGACUAGUUUUUUUUUUUAAUUCAAAAAAAUAAAUUCAGUCUCCUCAUUUAUUUUUUUUGGUUGGUAGGGGGAAGUGUAACGAGGUUACAGAAUUUCAAUGUAAUCUUAUAUUACAAAUCGGCCAUAAAAUAAAUGUAAUAUGUUCUCCGUGUAAGCUUACUCGCGUUCCUGGUCUCUGAUCCCAUAAGUUGCAAAAUCACAGUAGAGUCCUGGUCAAAGCUGGAAACUUGCGUUCUAAAAGGAAGUACCCGACAAAUGACGAACAUUUACGAGCUCGGGUAUCGUCGGAACAGGGCAUAGGCCUGAUAAUCUGAAACAGCCAUUCUCUCAAGUCUAAGUCGUCAAGCAGUUCAGACCCCCCUACUGCGAUAAGCAAAAAGUUGGAAAUUAUAAAAGUGCCUAGGAAAUCAAACAAAUUGUAUAGAAGCUAUUCGAAAGUGACGAGUGUAUAACUGUUUUCGCAAAAAUUCGCUAGGAAAACGUGUUACGAGCGGGAACCAUUCUAUAAAAAACUACUGUGCCUUUCCGCUAUUGUGCUAUCAGGAUUUCCUUCAAGUGAAGGUCCACCCCUAGGGCGAGACAAAUUGGUCCAAAGUCACGGACAGCCACAAUGUUCGUCGACGGUUGCUGGGCCGAUGAGACCGAUGCCAGUGCAGCAUAAUCAGCAUCGUCGAAGUAGCAGGUGACAGUUAGCCAAGACUCGUAUUCACCACGGCCAACAUAAGCAGGUGAGAACCAACCACGUUACGCUGUGUACCGCUACGAAGUUGACGUGACGUCCAGCACAUGACGUUCAUGUUUCGCUCGGUUGCCGCUAGUUGCCCAUAGAGGGCCGACCGAACAUUAGAUUUUCAAAUUGCGGCACGAGCAACCACCCGAUUAAAAAGGGAUUCCGGCAAAGUGAAUCGAAUCAGCGGAAAGAUUUGUUGCGUCUCCUGAAAGGCAUCGUAGGAUCUGGAAGUGGAUGGGUCAGGACAAAGGAAGUCGAAAAGAGAAUGAGAACAAGUAAGCACUAUAAAAAUUGUAAAUACUAACCCGUAGAUUGUAAGCUGAUUAUUAUACCGUGAGAAGGGAGAUGAAAGUCGAUCGCAUUUUGAACUGAAUUUUGAAUAAAUAAGAUCUUAAGAAUUUGGCAA